AGUUAACCUCUAACUUCUGAAGAUAUAGCUAUCAUCCUCCAGAAUUAUGGAACCGAACCCAUUACCGCUCCCUUCUUAUUAUUCUUUACUUAUUUCAGUGAAUAGUAGUUACACAGAUUCUAUAAGAGAUGAAAGUGACCUCUUCUUUUCGCUUUAAGAAAGGAAUAAUUGUAGGUUCCAUCUAUAAGGAAUAAUUGUAGGUUCCAUCUAGAAAUAUCAGUUUCAGAAGUUCAUCUUUCUAUAAGUGAGUCACUUCACUGCUGUAUCUUUAGUUAUUGAAUCUCAUGAUUAUUGAAUAGUCUUGGUUUGGUGCCUAUAUGCCGUAUGAGAUGUUGGUACCGUAGUCCUAUUAUGGAGUAAGGAUUGUGAUUCUGAAAGUCGGUGCUCUGCUCUCUCUCUUAAAGGGUUAAGUCAGAUCCUGUCAAUAUACCGUCUGAAGGCCUGGCUUAAGCUACUGAAUGAAUGGAACAACUUCUUUUAGCGCUGACUUGAACCUCUUCUCCAGCUUAUGCUUUAGUUAUUGUUUUUAGUACUUCUGCAAGUGCUGAGUCUGCCUCUGUAUCUCAAUUACUAUCUUUAUAGGCGAUGUGCACUAUCAAAUAAGAAGUUUAGUUCAACAAGCAAGUCAUAAGUUCUAAUAACCAAGGGUGGUAGCUAGUAAAGUAUAAAUCGAAAGUAAAGUAUAAGGUCUCUCAACGUCGAAAGCAAGGGGAAAAACUCAAGUACUUCUGUAUAGGCUGAGGAUGCCAAGAAAUAGGAAAUUCUUCAAGGCAGGGGCACAAGCCAAUCUGUUUUUUUGGGGCACAAGCCCUAUAGCGUAAGUGAGCAGAACUUUCACUUUUCUUCUGAAUGACUUAGUUUGAGCUACAUCGGAUCGGUGACGACUUUUACCACUAUUCGGGCAAGGGUCAAGGAAUAGCGGCUCUGGGCUAUAAAGUAAAGAGUGAGUUUCGGAGUAAGGAAUGAGUUUUGAAGCAAUGCUCUAGAUUGAAUCUCUUACAUCUAUAUUCUUAGAUGGGAUGCUUUAUUCUUUGAUUGCACCGUUGGUUGUGCCCUAUAUUAUCCGUUCUCCGUUCGCCCAUGCUGCUUGUUUACAUAUUUGUUUACAUGUUAUUGUUCCUUUCUUUACUUGUUGAGUUCGAGCAUUCAACAUAUGGUUCUGUUGCUUGUUUACUCUAAACUAUAGCAAUACCACUUUACUCGUUGAGCACAUCGAGGUUCAUUGCCGGCAAUUCUGGUAGUCGAAUGAAGAAGUUGGGAGGGCCAGUAUGAAGUCAAGUCAGAGAAUCAUAUGCUAGUCAGGUACCAGUAACACUAAAUGAGGCCGGAGGCGGAAUGCUCUCGAAACCAAUUAACUUGAGUGAGACAUAGUAGAGUGGAGUUCGCCAUGUAUAUUCUUAUUGUUCCCUAGCUUAUAGGUUCGCCAUGUAUAUUCUUAUUGUUCCCUAGCUUAUAGAUUGUUCAUUGAAAGCACUACUUAUAGAUAGAUGAUAGUAAAAACACUGCUUACAAGUAUAUUGCUGACAGCUUUUCCCUUACAAACUCAUAUCGGCGCUGCCCAAGAUUUCAUUUCCCUUACUGCUUUUAUCUUGAAAACUCCCUUACUGCUUCUCUAAAAAACGAAGCUAGGAAACCGAACUCUAUACUCAAACCUAAAGAGCAUAGGUCUCCCUGACAACUACAGAAUGGAAUGGAGUGCACAACAAAUGUCAUAUAGUAACUAAACAGGCGCUUACUCUCAUCAAUAUAUAAAAGAGUGCAACAAAGGGUUCAGAACUUGUUUCAUUGAGUGCACUGUUGCUUGUUUUCUUUCGCACCCCGAUAAGUAGCCUAAGGCGAAACUCUUUGACUUAUGAUUAUAGCUUCAAAGCAAGUAAGAGAAUCGUUCAAAGCUGUAACCCAUUGGAGUUGUGUAAGAGGCCGAGGUAGCACACCUUUCUUUGGGCGAUAUCUACUCAAUUGUAUAAUGAGGAUCUUUAGCAAGCAAUAAGUACUUAAAUAAGACAUUUCGCUGAAAUCUAGAAUUCCACAUUUUGCAAGUGUACCAGAUUCUUGAUUAUUUCGAGGAAAAGGUGAGGGAGUCUAUAAUCCGUUCCUUUGAUAUGCGGAAUUUAUAUGAAGCUCUGUGUCGGUUAAGUGGAGUAGAGUCAUAGUAGGCGGCCAGAAGCCCUAUUAGUGGGCGGCCAGAAGCCCUAUUUCCAUCUAUCCGUCCGUGCAGCACUUUCUUCUUAGAAUCGAAUGGGAACUUCCAGUAUUGUUUUCGCCCCAUGUCUUUGAUGAAACCUGAGCUGAGGUAGAAGAAACGAAAGCGCUUAUUUCUUCCAUCUAAUAAGGAUGGAUAAGUCAAAACAAGAGAAUAUAACCUAAAAAGGAUAAGUCGAAACUCUAGAAUAGAACUCUUAAGGAACCAAAGAAGUCCCGAUCCGAUAGAAGUUGUUCUUCAAAAUGGACGCUAAGUACUGCCCUCAGAAAUACCCAAGAUAGACCCUACAGGCUUUUGUUAUGGAAAGGCACACUACACUGGUCGAUAAUUCUUUACGAAUGGUGAUACGCGCACGGCUAUACAUAGAGCUUAAUACUGAUUGCUUUUGGAUUCUAGCUUGGAAUAAGUUCACGGGCAGUUGCCUAUACAGCCUUUUCUUCUCGCAGUAAUCGAAGACCCGCUAUCCAGGCGAGAGCAUAAGCUUCUAGGAAAUCCGUUUGACUACGUAGUCCUAUAAGAACUGAUGUUAUAGCCUUGAAGGGAAUAGGGCUUACCUGCAAGAGAUAAGGCCAGAAACUCGGCGCAGAUAAGAAAUCUAUCUUCUCAUUGCUUUGUAAGGGGAAAGGCUAAGGGUUAAGGUAAAGAAUCAAGUGUUUGUAGUUUCAUCCAUCUUAGGGUUGCCCAUUGCGCGUUCAGGGGAGAAAACAAACCCGAGCUGUCUAUAACCUACCUCCUUUAUAUCGCUACUUUAUUGUCUAGCUAAUAUUCUCUCUUCUCUCAAAGAAUGCCUAAUACCUGAUCUUCGCGAGCGCUGCGCAUCUAACUCGUCUAGGUAAUUCGCGCAUAAUUCCUUUGUCAGAAAUAAGAAAAAGAAAGAAUAAUAAGAAGUUAUUGACUGAAAGCGCUUAGUAAGUCUAUAUUCCCUCUAUUGCUGAAUCCUACCAUACCUAUACAUAGAAUAGCUUGAAUUCAUAGAACUCCCUUGAGUCAGAUCACAAAAGAUUCUUUCAUGGUAAGGGGCAUCCUACUUUCUUUUCUAAUUCAAAUAGGAUCGAGUUUCUUCAACUUAAACAGCCCUGGGUCUUUCUUUGUUUAAUUGGUUCUCCCGUGGUAAGCUAUAUGACUACUGGCUAGGCUGGGCCUCCUAUUAAUAAAGAUGGUAAGCCCGAUCCCUCACUCUAUUCUCUAACCGCUGAAAUGGAUUGUUUGCUUCAUUUCCCUCACUCUAUUCUAUAACCGCUGAAAUGGAUUGUUUGCUUCAUUAAAGUAAAGGAUAGAAUAUUGAUUGAAAGCCUCCCUCCGUAAGAAGUACUCUAUUGCCAGUCUCGGUCAAUUGAAUCUAACUGAGCGGUUCGUACUUUCCUUUCCUAUUCUUUUAUAUAAUUCCUUUCCCAUUAUUUGAUAUAAUUAUGGAACGGGUGUCUGAAAGAUAACUAAAAGGGUAGGUGGGCCUAAUAACAGUCUGGUCUAUUCUUGAUGCGCUUUAAUAGAUUUGAAGACAUCGAAUGUCGAAUGAGUUGAAAGAUAGCCCGACUUACAAGUUCGAAAUGUUAUCUUCACUUUAUUGGCUCCAUCACCUGCUGCUGCCUCUCGAAUCUUAUUCUGUGUAACAGGGAUAGGGAUGCCAAGACAAUGAUAUGGCCCCUUCCUCUUCUCAGAUACUACUGGAAAUGCGCGAUUGAUCGAUGGCUCGGCUGAUUUGCCUGACCGAGUCCUAGUCUCAAACCAUGUCACUCGGGGAGGAAGAGCAGACUUGAAAGCUGGGUAGGAAGAGCAGACUUGCAAGCAGGAGUCACGUGCUACAAAAGUGCAAAGAUAAGAGGAACAUCACAGAAAACGAGCUCUUUCUCUGAUUAGCCCUGUAGAUCACUGGCUAGAUCGGACUCUCUCUCUACCUUUGCUAACUCCGCCAGUAAAGGAAGUUAGUCCAUAGCGCCGGCUUUAUCAAUUUGUUCUGUUCUCUUGGGGGAUAUACCAAAAAUGAAGUAGUGUGGGCAUUAUGAAAGGGAUGAUACUCUAUUAAAUAAAGGGUCAAAUACUCUAUGAAAGGGAUGAUACUCUUAAGGGAUUCUACUCUAAAGGGAUAUGAGACUCUCUUAUUUAUUCCAGAAAGCAAAGAGAACGAUUGGUAAACUAUUGAACUGUAAUCACUACUUCUAUUGCAACUGUGCUAUUACCAAUUCACUCACGGACUUAUAACAGCUUAACUAACUACUGUAUUGACUAGGGAUGGAAAGCAAGCUAGUCAUUGUCACUACUGCUAAGUAAGUACUAGUAAUAAGCAAUGUCACCUAUGUCACUAAGCAAGUAACAGGAAAGCAAAGUAAUGUUAACUAGAAUCUAGGGCUGUUAACUGUAAUCUAGGGAAGCUAGGGUAUUGUUGGGUUACCGCUAAGUGAGAAGCAGUUGUGAAUGAAAGAGGUCUUUCUUGCAGCUAACGCGAGCUACUUUAGCUUACGUAGUGAAGUUGCGCUAACGUCGUUUCCGUUGCUUGUUGAACUCGCCGUGCCGUUAUUUCAAGAGAAGCCCCAUCUCUUCAUUGUUUUGUGAAGCAGAUAGAACCAACCCGAGGCUUGACCUGACCCAUUCUAAGAAAGGCAAACUCAAUAGAUAGCUUCGAAGAGGAACUCGUAGUUACAGCUUUUCAGGGACAGUCAGACCUCCUUUGCAGCUCUUGAUACUCGGUCAUUCCUUCCGUUCAGCUUAAGGUCCCUCGCCUCACUACAUUCCCUCAGCCCGGACAGCAAAGAAAGGGAAAAGUCCAUAAUCCAACUUAUUUCUCUAAUAGCUCAUUCAUGUACUCUCUCUCUUACUAACCAAUCCUUAUCUUAGGGGGAAAGAAAGGAAAUUCGUAAUUGUACUAUCUUACUUACCUUAGCAAUCCUUUUACCAAUCCGUAGAAGAAAGAAAAAGGAACAUUGGGCCCAUCCUGAAUUAUUAUAUUAUAGGGGCUCGGCUCAUUCAUGAAUACAAUAGUCCCAGCUGCAGAUCCAUACUUGAUUCUUGACUUCCCUGACCUUUAUCUGCUCAAGUCAUCUUUCAUUCUAUCCGUGCUUUCUAAAGUAUCAAGUGUCCUCAUGUUGGUAAGAAGAUAAGAGAAAGGUAAAAGAUUUGUUGUAAGGUAUAGGUUUUGUAGGAGAGGGAGUAGUCAGAGUCCGAGGUGUCGUAGGAAAGGAGGUUGUUAGAGUCCGAGGUGUCGUAGGAAAGGAGGUUGUUAGAGUCCACCUGACGCCCGUUCAAAGCAGUAUAUUAUUUCUCUUUCUCCUCUUCUCUUUUCCUUGGUAUAGAGUGGAAAGUGUUCUCUUUUCCGAGUAGGAACUGUGUCUGAGGGGCCCCUAUCAAAGGAGAGAUUUUCCGGGUAUGUGUGUUGUCACGAAAGUGCAAGGGGUGAUUCCUAGCACGGCACGCACGGCUAUAGGUUUUGAAAGGGUAGUAAAGAAAGAGCAGAUAGGAGCGAGUAAGGUGGAAUGCGGGGACUUGAAUACCAGCCUAGGAACGAACAGAACAGGUCUUUUUCUUUAGUGAUAAAUGCAUUUCAAGCUGGGGCAACUACUAAUCAAAAGGCGGCAACGGAACCGGCAACUCAACAUAACUCCUAACAAUAGUAACAAAACAGAGCACUUAAGUGAUUCAUAUCAUCUCAUAUCUGUCCAAAAACUACCAUAAGCUCUUGCGCCCUAGCUUUGCCCCUAGCUUGUUUCAAUAAUCAAAGUCAGACAUCUUUCUUCCAACUAUAAAAACACUUAUGACAGCUUCCUUUAGCUCAAAACACUUAUUACAGCUUCCUUUAGCUCACUUGUUUACUUUCUUCGUGUCUUUUCUCUUACUAGGCCUUUCUUUAGCCCACUUACUUAUAUUAGUACUUGGUUGGUCCUUAGCUUUGUAGCAUCAUAGUUUCUACUGGUGCGCUCCUAACCUAAAUAAAAGUCAGUUUAGCGCAACGGCGAAAUGAGCAUUUAUAUGAUUUUCCAAGAACUCGCUAUAGAAUAUAAUAUAAUCAUAGUCAAAUAUAAUCAUAGUAAUAUAAUCAUAGUCAAAUAUAAUCAUUGUAUAGUAAACUCACAGUAUUGCUGACUUUCGACUUAUUGUUCUUGCUUGUUGAAUCACAUUUUCAUGAAGGACAACUAAACUAAUAGCAGCAUAGUGCCCCGGACUACAAGAAUGGAAGAUAGGCAUGGUUCUGUUGCUUACAGAUAUGAGUCUUAAGUGAGAAUGGAGGCAUAAGAGAAUGGAGUGCCCAGCCCAAUUCUAUAAUAUCAAUACCGCCGACUUUCUAACAACAUUACUAUAAUGAGACGAUACUUCCAUCUUGAUACGAUCGAUUCUACUUCACUUUCUUAUUCUUUAUUAUGGACUUCCUUCUUUAUACACGAUUCUAUUUCGACUUUCUUCUUUAUACACGAUUCUAUUUCAUUUGACUUUAUUAGAGACUUCGAGCAAGCAAUAAGGGUAGGCUGAGCUAGUGUGAACCAAAUCCUUUAUUCUUCCCAAACUCCAGUAAGUGUUAGCGCGCAUAUAUCAUAUAUAGAGUUUCUAUAGUGGAGCUUCUGAGUUCGCUAUUACUUGUUUUUUCUUUCUUUCUAUCUAUUGCUUGUUGAGUCAGGAGCUUUCUAGUAAGGGGUUAUGUUACUUUCUUGCCGAACCCUACACUAUACUUGAUAAGGACAAAAGCAGAGGCACUAUCAUCACAAACUAUUGAGUACAUGGGGAUAGUGUAGAGUUAGGGUACCAUUAAGUUCGUAGGGUACCAUUAAGUGAGUCAGGAGUCUGUCUGUUUUGAAGCAAAAGGAACAAGCACCAAAAGAGUAGAGUAUUCAGGAAUAUGCUUAGCGCUUCAACGCCCUGCCCUCUUUCUUGCUAAUACGUCUUUCCCGCCUUACCCUUAAUUCAAACAAGCCAAGGGGGCAAGAACAACAAGAAUCAAACUCGUAUAGGCAGCAGUUAAGCAGAAGCGGAGAGUUCCAUAAGUAACGGAAUCAAAAGGAUAAGCGCAAGGGAAUUACAAAGAAGAGAUUUUGACUUACUGGGCUUUCUGUACACUAACACGUCCCGUCCCGAACUCCCUUAACAGACAAAGGAAAGAUGGCUCUUAUAAUGCAGUGCAGUUUUUCUUACUAACAUGGAUCUGCGCCUAAUACGGAUCUUUUUGUUCUUGAGCUGAGCUCUUGCUUGUUGCAGUGUCACAAGUGUAGUUCGAGCAAACCCUGCUUUGAUUCUUGUUUCGCCUAUAACUGACUUAUAUUAUAGGAAUAAUGGGAAUAAGUAGUGGAGCUUAUGGGAAUAAUGGGAAUAGUGGAGCUCUUAUGGGAAUAAUGGGAAUAAGUAGUUUAGUUCCAUUUCGAAUAGAAUAGAAAGCUUCACUAAAUUACUCCGCAAUAAGAUUGAUAACUCUACUCACCUUUUCACCCUAAAAGUCACAGCUAACCCACGAAUGGCCAAUAAAGCUACCUUCAUGAAUAGCACGCCCCGAAUCCUAUCAUUAUUAUUGAAUACUCUAGGGUGUUUACAAUGGAAGGUCAGAAAUAGAGUGAGUGAUUCUUCAAUGCUAGAGCUAAGACCGAGGAGAAAGCAAGCGCUCUUAGCAGAAAGCUGGGCCGAAUAUCAAGUGUAGUCAGGGGGCUUUACUUAGCGAGUGGUGCACUACGGCUUUCAUGGAAUUGAACCGCUUGCUUCGACUUCUGACUUCACUGCUUUAACCGUACUCUACACUUGAGGAACCGCACUAAACUCGCUUACACUGAAUUGAUCCAGAUCAUGCUGCUUCGGCUCCCUAUUCUUCUCCAGCAAUAUGAUCUUCUGCUCCUCGGGAUUCAACAAGGAAGUAAGAUUGGAAUUGCACUACUGAUUCACUUGUCGAUUCAGAAAGGAGAGUUAUCGUAGAAGUUGAUGCUUAGCCCAGCUUAAGAUAAGAACCAAUUCCUGAUUCUUGUGAUCUACUACUUGCUUGUUCUGCAACAUUUCCAAUUGAGAAUUAUAUAUCUAUACAUAAAGAAUUGUAUAUCUAUCAAUAAAGAAGAGAAGGUGAAUACUACUCCCCCUAUUGAAGGAUUGGAAUUGAACUCCCGACUCUCCACUUGAGGAACAAACAGAAACGGAAUGGAAUUGCACUGAACAAGCACCGAACCCAGACUUGACUCACACUGCUUCCUUAUAAGGUGAAACUAGAACUUCGAUUCGACUUGCUGCUGGUGUGGCUGAUUCAUUCUCAUCAACAACACUAGCAUUUAAGUCUGUCGGGGCACUUGCUUUUGUUGGACCGAGUCAAACUGUCAUUUCAUCUCUCUCUUUAAUGGCUGUGGAAUCUAUCUCUUGAUAAGUGGAAUCUAUCCCUUUAGAAAAUAGAUCUUAGGAAUGGAGCUUAGGAAGCAGGAGAAUUCUGAUAACUGAUGCUGACACUGAGUCGAGUGCCGGUAUAGUAGCUUGUUCUGGAACGGGAAAGUAAAUGCAAGCAGGAAAGUGAAGUAAUACAGGAAAGGAUCAACGCGCUGAAUGAGAUUGAACUGAUUGAACUGAUGCUGAUGCUCUGUAACUUAGGAAUUAAUGGAAUCCUUCUUUUAUUGCUCAACUCCGGACAUUCAUUUUAGGAUCUUACCACACAUCUUCAUAUAUAUAUAGAAAUUUCCUUCCCUAACACGGAAAACGGGACUUGAAGACGCUCUUUCUUACAUUGUCUUUGUCUCAGGGGUUGACACCUAUCCGAUUUUGCACUCAAUGCUGUUUUAGAGUGGAAUCUCCUGUUUUCGUAUCAGCUAAAGCGUAAGUUGUUCAAUCUGAUGCACAUAGAUAUUCCUUUAAAUGAGUAAACUCACACUACUAAGUGUAGUUCUCCUAUUCCUAGUAUUCCUAUUAGUAUGUUUAGCGAGUGGGGAGCUAAGUAUUCGGUUAAAGAUCUCCCCCUCCCUUUUCUGAAACGCGCACCUACAUUAAACAAGGACUUUUGUAGGCUACCCUCAUUCUUUCGAGCACCGAGUAAACUCAACCUGGUUUCGGCUACCCUCAUUCUUUCGAGCACCAAGUAAACUCAACCUGGAAAAGGAAAUAAGGAAUUGACUGUUGAUCGAGCUUCUAACUCCCUAGUAUAUUGAUCUUUUGUGACCAAUACGGAUCUCUUUCUUUGCUUCGAACUUAACUGUCUUUCUAAACCGUAAGUAUCACCUACUGACAAUUGAAACUCGAACGUAACUUGAAUAACCGAAAAGUCAGAACCUAUCUUAUAACAAGCAAAAAGGGUCAGAAUGAAAUAGGUUACUGUAAUCUAUCGUACAGAGCACAGUGAAAGGAAAGAAUCUCUCUGAACUUUGUGACUCAAGAAGAAAGGGCGCAAUAAUUGCUUGAGCAGAGCGGGGUGCAUUAGCUUACCUUUCAAGGGUUCGCUUGUUAGAUUAGAGUUAUUUAUUGGAGUAGCCGAGUUCGUUUGUUAGAUUAGAGUUAUUAUUGGAAUUGAAGUAGUUCCGUAUCGCAUUAACUUAGUUGUCAAGAGAGUUGGGACGAAGUUAAGUGUUUUAGGGAGCUACGCCGACGCAGAGCUUCUUUCUACAUAUACAUACGCGGAGCUUCUUUCUACAUAUACAUACGAUGCAACUGGUCCUGGUAUAGAAUAUGAGAAAUACACUGCUUCCCUUUCUUCUUCUCCCUUAACGCGUAACUUUUGGAAUCGGCUGACUUUGAAAAAGCUUCUAAUCUGGCAACAUACUUUCCUAUUUGAAAGGAGUGUCCGUAGACAAGCAAUUCCUUCUAUGGACAAAGCCGAAGUGGAAAUGGGAUAGUUUCAUUAUGCGGGGAUCAUGUUAAUUGCAAAUGCUUAGCAAGAUGAUUAAGAAAGAGAGUACUGUACGAACGACCAUAGAAGAAGAUGCUGAUUGCUCUAUAAUGAUGUGAAUAAGUCUGUCUUGGAUCUUAUUCAUCUUUGAACCCGCUUUCCGCUCCUUGGCCCUUUGAAAAUGCAAUGUGCGCUGGUGAUCUAAUAAUAAUAAGAAAUAGAAGUUUAAUAGAUAGUGAAGUAUAGUAGAAAUAUAGGAGAGAACAUCAUCGAUCGUCUUAUUACCUCUUACUAACCCUAAGGCUAAUGGUAAAGCAGAGGCCACAAACAAGACCUUGAUACGCAUUUCAAAGAAAACGAAUGAAUCCAUAAAUGGGACGGGACUUCUUGCUUACUACCCGAAGCUAAGUUGAAAGCUGCAUUAGCUAAAGAAUCCACAUAAUAAUACCACACCCUGCCUGUCACUAAAGAAUCCACAUCGGACCGCCCCGUAUAGAAGAAGGAAUCUGGCUUCCACUAUUGAAUCCGCUGUUAAGAAGGUACUUCAACCAGAACGGAGUGGCAUGGGUCCCAGGGCUGUAAGCUUUCGAAGCUCCCCAAUAGCAAGAGAAGAUUCUCAGACACAGAAGGUAUUUUAUCGGUUUCAAAGGUUUAUUGCCUUUAGGCGGUAUCGUUUUAUUCAAGAAGGGAAGGAAUCGGGGGAUAGAGUUCUGCGUUUGGCUAUAUUGGAAGGAAAGGUGCUAAGAGCCUAACUCAGGAAAUCCAGAGGAAAGUCACAUUGCAGAGAAAAUCAUCCAUUAUAUACUAGUCUAAGUAGAAAAUCAUCCAUUAUAUACUAGUCUAAGUCUAAGUAAGCCCCAAACUAGCAAUAGUGGCUGAUGCUGGUCUUGAUCAAUAGAGGAGAGCGAGAUAGCUGUGCAAGCUUUGUGUAUGCCAGACCUUGAUCUUCAUCCUCAGAAUCAAGAGGGAAGCAAGCGCACAGAAGGGUCGGGUCAUCAGUCCGGCAGUGUAAACCAGAGCUCUCCGCUGGAAUAGUCCAUAACGGAAUGCGAUCAAAGGCGGAGUGCGCAAGAAGCGCCAAACAACGGCGCAAGCCGCUGCGCGGCAGCAACAAUAAUAGAUAUUACAAGUUAUAAACAAGUCCUGUGUUCGGGUGCUGAAAGCCUUUAGAGUUUUGAAUGAGGUUACUGAACGUAGGUCCACUCAACAAGCAAACUGUUCAUUUAUUCAAUCGACUUCUUCCAGAAUAUGAAUUUGAGGAAUGUGGUAGUAUCGUCUUCCCCCGUACUCCAUUAGCCCUGAGAGAGACUAAGACUUGCAAUCAUUCUUUGGGGACAGUGGUGAUUAGCACUUUGACUGUGUCUUUCGUCUUCCUCUCCAACUCACUCCUCUAGGAAAGUAUGGAACUACUAUAGAAAUACUUGAAGAGCAAAUAGCUCAUCUCGCUAUUCACAAUACCUCUAGCUCAAGUACCCAGUAGUAAGCCAAGCAUGAAAGUUCAAGCUAUGAUUCAAAAGACGGGGAAGCAUCCGUUUUGACUCGAAAAGCUAGUAAGUACCCAAGCUCUCCCAUGAAGUCGGGUUACAAGUUGAUUUGGUGAAAGAGUUUAGUUGGAAGGAAGGAAGUAUUUAAGUAAGUGCUGUAAUUUCCCCUACCUGUAUUGGAUUUCGAUUCCCCUAGAUCCCACCCAUAAGCCCUUUCUAGUAUGUCCUCCGCGCAGGAGAGUUUUGAUUAUUGGGUUAGGUUAACGAGUAGAAUUCUAGUUCCACUUCAAUUUCAUCUAACCGCGUUGCAAAGCUAAAGUAGCAUUGUACGGGAGAGUGCAGGUUCGGUGAAAGAUGCCUCCCACUCGCGCUCUUAGAGCUGAAGGUAUGAGACCCAUGAUUCGAUAUGGAGUCUGUAACUGUAGCUUAUGGUCGUCCUUGAUCUGCACCAUCGGUUAGGUUAUCAUUGCCAUAUUCAAAAGAGAAUCAAGCGUUAGUAUUGAAUCAAGUUUGAAACACGAGGGAUUUAGCCGGAUGCGCCAGCCCCAUCUUGCCUCUUCCUUUAGCCUCCAAUCAAAUAAAUAGAAAUGGGAAAGGGAUGCAACAUUCUAUCUUAGAUAUAGGGGUUGAACUCGAGUUAUACCAUAUAGGAAUAUAGGAAGGGAUGUAAUUGAACCUGGUGUACUUACUGGAAGGGAUGUAAUUGAACCUGGUGUACUUACUUUUAAGGAUUCCUUUCCUUAUUUGUAUGCACUCUGACUACAGGGGCCGGUCGGAGGCCUUGCUUCGACUGGAUUCCCCCACCACAGAAAACAGGAAGACGGAUCUAAUCUACGUAGCCCAUUUAGCUUUGAGCUCUCCUUUCCCUUGACCCCACUGUUACUUACUUGAAAGUUUUGAAGCGUGAAAAGAAAACGAAUAUAGACUGGCAUUCUUUCGUAGAACGAGGAAGAAUCCAUCCUUGCCUUGUUGAAAACUAUACCUAAAUGGAAUCGACCGACCCUUACUUAUUACUUUAUUACUGGUAAAAUGGCUAUUUAUGCUUUGCCCUCUGACACCCUUUAUCCAUCCUUAUUACUGCUAUGAUCAGGACAGAAUAGUUUGGCACUGGCAUUCUAACAGGCUAUUUAAAGAGGGCAGCUUUAUAGAUGCCUUUGAGAAAAACACUCUUGAGAGAAUCUAACCUUUGAGAAAAACACUCUUGACAAGUAAAAAAACACCCAGCAAACGGAGGGUAAGCAUCAAAGAAAAAACGAACUAAGCCUAGCGAGGGUAAGCAUCAAAGAAAAACGAACUAAGCCUAGCGAGGGUAAGCAUCAAAGAAAAACGAACUAAGCCCUGCUAGCUAACUAAAGCAUCUUUCCUUACCUAAGCCUCACUAGCAAACUAAGGGUAAGCGCAUCAAAUAAAAGAAGAUAGAGCCGCGCAUCAAAGAAAAGAAGAAAGAGCCUAAGAAUUCCGGCAAAGAAAAGAAUGAAGAGCCCAAACCUAACUACUGCGGAUCGGAUCUUUGAUAACCAGCUUAGCCCUGUAGUUAAGAUGCUUCUUAUUCCUUUUUAGCACAUAGGAUCUCUACUAUGAUUAGAUUGUAUUAUGAUCUUCGCCAAGGUUGGAAACGGAAGAAAGGAAAUGGAUUCUAUAUCUUCAUACUAUCAGUUAACCAAUCUUUGGAAAAUUCCUCUGUUUCUUAUAAUAUAAACACCAUUAGAAGUAUAUUUCACAUGCAUUUCUCUAUGAUAUUCCAUUCCUUUGAGUUUCGAAUGUUUUGUUCCUUAUUUCUAUUCUAUUAGUUUAGUUUCAUUCAAUUCAGAAAUAGUUGCAUUCAAUUCAGAAAGUGAGAGUGUUUUGUUACCGAACAAGCAAACAAGCGCUGGUAGUACUACAGUAUUUGCUAAAGCCCACUCCGCUCCAAGUAUCGUUUCAAGUUGAGUAGCCAGUUGCAAUAUCAGUAUCUCGUCUUGCAUCAAGUCUGGUUUUGAAACCUCGGGUGAAGUAGCUCGUGUUAGCUCACAGUUUUGGCUUUCAAUUCAUGGUCAAUUGAUCUGCGCUAAUGGGAGUUACGCAAGGCUAGAAACAAGGGCGGAAAGUCUAGUUUAGUAUCUGGUUGUUCAACCCCAAAACAAUAAGCCUUAGCACCCCGAAAUCAACUCGAUAAAUCAAUCAAUCAAUAAUUUCAGAUAGAGCGCGUUCCUUUCCUCAUAUAGAAUUUCGUUAAGUAACCGGAGAGCACCUAUUCUUCCUGACUAGUCACAGAGCACCUAUUCUUCCUGACUCCUGACUUGACUCACUAGCGCCGGCAAAAGAAACUCUCCUUUCUGCUUAGACUGCUUAUUAUUGAGUAAAUUGAGUAAAUGACAGCUUCUGAUACAGCGGAUUCUCUUACAGCAGGAGCAUACCGAGCUAGCAAACUCAAGCUCAAAAGAAGAGCCAGCAUUGCAUCUUUAUAUUCCGGCGGUGAAGCAGACAGUGCAGUUCAGAGCUUAGGUGACUAUCAGUGGUGCACUCAAUUCCAUACGAAUAAUGGAACUUUCACGUCCGUUUUGGAAUGAAGUCUGCAGUUCUGAGUUAGGUUACGAACUUCUACUUCCAUAAGUGAUUCCGUACAAAAUGAUAAGUGAUUCCGUAACAAAAUCCAAUUCUCUUUCUUAGAGUGAGGGCAGUGCAGUGUCUUUACUCAAUUCUAUACAAUUUCCAUUUAUUACUUUCGGCUCUUCGUCCAACAUUGUACACGGAUGCUACUCACCUGUAGGGAAAUGAAAUAGGAAGAACAAAUAGCAAGACUCAAUACUUUAUCGCGUUAGGAGUUCUUUCACACUGGAACCCGACUACUCUACUCCAGCGAGCUACAAGUUCAAAGGACUAGAGGAGCAAAGCCAAGUUCAAGGGAGCUGCUGGGUGCUAAAGUGAACUGUGAGUUUCGGAGUUUGGUGAAUAAUAAAGGACAGAGGCAGAGUCAAGUUAUGAGUUGUGCGCCAGCAGUAAACAGUGAGUUUCGAGUAACAAGCAACAGCUAAACAGGCAACUACUCACUCUUGGACUGAACCCCUGGCAUCUCCCCUUGCUGGUAAGGUAAGGGUUGUUAUACUUCAAUAAAGCAAGAGCAGCUUUAGCUGGCUCACAGGCAAGAAUGCAAGGGGCAAUUAUAGAAUGGAAGAGGCAAUUCUCAAGCUAAAGACGAAAGGUUAGGGCUUGGCUACUACCCCGAGUUCUGAUAUAUAGAUAACAUGCUUGCUACUUACUCUUUUACAAAUGGGGGUAACUGACUUUAUUUCAUAUGCUUUGGCUUACUUACUCGAUUCUUUGACUUACUUAUUGAAAUACGGAAUGACUAUAAGGAAUAACAGACUGGACUAAUGAAAAGGAAAGGAAGGAUUAGUAGUUAUCCGAGACAGGAAGGCUUGUUCUGGGAGUUCAGUCCUCUAAAUGGUAGUUCGAUUAACAGGUUUCGAGCUUUAUUCCCUCUGGCCUACAAACUCAUUUUGGACUGUUGAGUUCAAUCCCAGUUAGAGCAGUAGUUAAGUCUCUAGUUUAGCUGCGAGGCUCGUUCAAUCCUGCUAUGCACCUGCUCAUUCCUAUACAAUUUCGUUCGAUUCUUUCCAUUAGUAAUGAAAGCCCUAGUUAAUAGUUGUUCUCUUAUUUCUCAAGCCUUAUUCUAUUAUCCGAUGUUCAAAUCUUAUUCGCCAGUAGCUCUCGUACCUACUCGACCAGUUGCCCGGGCAUUCCUAUCAAACUGACGUUACUUUACAUGAUUCUGACUAUCCUUUCUUUAUUCUGUAGUUACUGAGCCGAAUCUCAAAUAUGGUACUGCCCUGUUAACUCCUGCAAAUAUGGUACUGCCCUGUUAACUCCUGUAAGUUAGCCUCGCAGUAAGUCUCUAGGUUUCUUUUCUUAGUCUACCCUUCUGUCACUUAUCCGAGGCUCGCUCUCCUACCUCUAGGAAUCAAUACAAGAAUACAUAAUAUAAGUAUGGAGUAUCAGAUUGGGACCAAUACCAGAAGGAAUGAAACACCAAACACCACGCUAAACCACGCUAAACUCAAAGUUAGUGAAUAAAGAAUGAAAUUCGAAAGUGCCUCUCUCUUGUAAACCUACCUCUUCUCACCAACCUCCCUCUCGACAACCUAGUGCUAGUAGGCAAGUAGUCAGAAGAAAACCUUACUUAAAGAAUCCAACUCAGUAGUCACAGAACGAUGCCGGAACUAUAGAAUUACAGGUGCAAGGCGUAUACUGUGAAUAAUCCAAAUCAGAAUGAUCCCAUGGCGCGCAAAUCGGAUAGAAUUGCCCUGAUUGGUCUAAGCCUAUGAACCCGGACAACGACUAGGAGGUAAUCAUCCUAAAAUAACAUAGGACUUCUCUUACUGCUCUCGAGCCUUGCCUUAACGCUACCCGCCCUUGCUUCGAACCUUGCUCUACCUUCUUUGAUUCCAUCUUUGAUUAUUUCAUUAAGUAUGCAGUGCUCUGAUAUUGACUAUUCUGUUGACUUGUAUUAAUAUGAUUCUGUUGACUUGUAUUGAUAUGUAUUAUUGAUAUUCGUUUUCUCAUAUAUUGGAUAUUAUUCUAGUAUAGUUUAUUAGUAGUUUGCUUAGCUACACUAGGGCUCUACUUUUGAUAAAAAACUGUAGUUGGUUUUCUCUUGAACGGUAGAUCAGUUGCUUCGGUGUUAAGUCAAAUAACAUCCCUAUGAGUGAAGUAAAACACAAGAAUGAAGCACAGAAGUCAGCAUAUGAAUCAAAAUACAAAAUAGAAAAGCGCCCCAUAUAGCAAUAGACUAAUACUAGUAAGAUACAGAGCAUCCACUAAUAGGAAUAAGAAAACAACUCGGAAGUAAAGGAACGAAACUCAUAAGUAAGGAAACAUCGGCGGGAAGCUCAUAAUGAACUAGUGCCUGAUAAACCUUGACUUUGGUCUUGGAACUCGGGCUGAAACACUGAUACGUAGGAUCAUACUUGCAUCCGCCCCACUAAUAUAGGCUUUAUACCUAUUAACUUAAGUCAUGUAUUUAAAGAGUGAAAGUCAAGAUACAGAAGUUUAGCUAAGCAACUUACUCAGAAAAUACUAAUCAAUAUUAUCUACGCGAAAAGAAUAAUCAAAUUAAUAAUGAAAUGAACAAAUAAGGCUUGUCGGGCUAAUAAAGUCAGGCUGGGGUUUGAUUCUCUUACUUAUUAAUUAUUCUCUAACUAAGUUGUUUGUGGGCUUUUAGUUACUGUUCAGUCCAAUCAAUCCCUAUUCCUAGUAUUCUGAGUCAAAGCCUGGAGCGGGAGAUCUAGAGAGAGGAAAGAAAGACUUAAGUCAAGGGUAGCGGGAAUGAGAUAAAGUCAAAUAAGGUUUGGUUAGCGGGGUAAGUAUUGUUAGUAUACUAUUUGCAGUCCAUUACUUGGUGGUUAGAUUCCGAGUUUGUAGUUCCAUUCUUUCUAUUGAUCUUACAGGUCUUGUAGUGUUAGCCACCAGUACCUGACUUUCUAGUGGAUUUCCCUAUAAUAAGGUAAAGAAUCAAAAGACCAAUUCCAAGAGUGAAAGAAGUGCAAUAAAGAUACGAGAUCGGGAGUUACUGUAUUGGAAGCACUAGUUUCAUCCUAAUUUCAUAGCUCAGUUCCCCGUUGCUUGUUUGUAGUCUGACCUUAGAAUAGAAAUGAUAGUCAAAGCCUGAGUUCAAAGCCGAUGCUUACGACUUAUAUUACUAAUUCUUGUAUUGAUUCCUAUAGCUAGUAACGGAAGAGCUAAAGACUGUAUAGUAAGGCUCGGAAGCUAACAAGCAAGUAAUGAAACAAGAACCACUAACUUCAGGGCUGGACCCGGACUCUAAUCUACCUCUGGUAAAGCACCAAACCCAUCUCUAACCUUAACAUCAAGUAAAGACUUAUUGUCUACCAAUAGGGAUGAAACUACUAAUGAAGGGCUCGGUAUUCCACUGGCAGCUGGCAAGGCAACUACACCUCUACCAAGAACAGGAGCAGAAACUUACAAUAAGAGCAGCAGCUUACUCUCGCACGACAUCUAAUUCUUCUCCUAGUUCUUUACCCACUCUGGAUACAACUUCCUUUCGAACUGCAUCUGCUUAUAAUGGAUUUUCUACUUCUAGAUGGGAUGAUUCUCGAACUGCAUCUUUAAACGAUGAAACUAGAACGGGAACUUACCGACAAGGAGUUACAGCACCGACGUAAGAGCCAUUAUUAGAUGAAGCCCCUGCUUCCCUGAACCCAACGAGUAACUACUAAACUCACUGGCAAGUCGACUUGCCUCGUAGCUUGGCUCUUAGUUGUAGGUAGGCGGUUGUAGGUAGGCGAGAAAGAGCACUGGGUUUGUUCCUUCUUUUCUUCUAUGAAAACCCUCCCGCUAAUUAUUCUUAUUAUGUUUCCCCGGCAUGAAGGUGAAUUAUCACUCAAGCCUCUGAAACUACAUUCUGAGUGUUUCCCCUAAGACGAGGGACCCAUACGCUGCACCCAUACUAGGCACAACUCUUGACUUCUGGACCACUACUUUAAGGAGCCAAAAAAGGGACUUGUUCAUAACUAAUCAAAAUACGUAAUUGCUUGUCCCGUUGCGAGUCUAGUAGUUGCCUGGACUACUACUUGUUUGGGCAUUUCACAGUACUAUAGUAGCUUGUCUGGUUAGUAACAUUUUCUAUCGUAGGGAGCGGGGGGCACUAACAUUCUUCUCCUCCUGAAGAUACAGCUUAAUAUCUUUCUUCCGCGGAUUCUCUCUCUCUAAGACACCUUGGGCUAAGGGAAAUAACAGAAGUGUAGUUACAAACCAGAGAUGUGUUUUAAUUAGUUCAGCAACAUCAAUAUAUGGUGAAGCUCGGGAAAGCACGGGAAAGCACCCGGGGAAAACGAAACACCCGAUUGCUCUAAGUAACAUCUAUAUGAAACUCAGUAUUCUGUCUCAGGGUAAAGAACAAACAGGAACUCGUAUUCUGUCUCUGUCUAAGGGUAAGGAUAAAGAACAGGAACUGGCCGAGUCGAUUCAUUCGGCCUUAUGUAACUCUACUAUACCACGCUUCAAUUGAUUACUUAGACCUCUACUCGGCUCGAUCAAACCAAUCACCUCUCGCUACAAUGACACUUCCCUGACUUGAGUUGAGACUUAACCGACGAAGAUGAUCUUUAUGAUGAAACUGGAACAGGAACUGGAGCAGAACCUUUACACUUUACUGCUCUGCUGACUCCUUACUAAACAAGCAGGAGAACUCGCACCAAAAGAAACUCCAUCACUUUCUGUACCGCCGCAACAGGACUUGUACCUGGAUACAACACUGGAACUUCUGAUUAGGAUCUUUCUUAUACUGCUGCUCUCGUUGACUUAAACAAAGCUUAGAAUACUGUUGCGUUAACGGAAGGAGAUGAGCAUUCAACAUUAUAUUAUUUAUAUGAUGAUACUCGAACUAGGCGAACAGAACAAGUAGACUUCACAAAACAAGUUCACGCCGCUAACCUUAGCAACUGCAGACCCGAUUGCUGCUUCAUCGAAUCCUUAUGCUUCAGAUCCUACAGCUCGAAGUCAAAGUUAAGUAUCAAUUGCAUCUUUCUUAUGGUCAGGGCAACUUGCAUUAGCCGCAACUACUGUAAUGGAAUCUCUCGCCUCGCUGACUUCUUUUAUUGAUUACUUUUGCUUCUGUUAUUAAUGGGUUAUUCAUUACUUCUUCCAUAUGGGCUACACCUUUUGUUCUUAUUCCAAUUCUGAUUCUUUCAUUUAGUAUUUAUGGUUUCAUUCUUAUACUUGUUUUGUUAAGAACACGUACUCGGUUGACGAGAAUAAGUGCAAUUCUAACUUUCGAAAAAGGGCACAUAGGGUAGGCGAGAAAGACGAAAACUUUACUUGCUUGGGACUGUUACUAUAUACUUAGUAGAGUUCCCGAAAACGUUUGCUACUCAAGAAGAAGAGGUUAAGAUAUUCUAGUUUAGGCCAUAAAGAGAUGUUAGGCAGAAAUGCACUCUAAGGACAGUUGAUUAGUUUCAUGGGAAAUACUUCUAAAAACAGGAAAGAUUAGAAAUAAAGCAUUUGGAGCCUAUAAAGCAGGGCAGACCAGACCAUUCUUUGAAGCGCGGGUAGUUUACUUACUUGGUUUACUUACUUUGUGGUUCCUGCACUGAUCUGGUUUACUUCCUUCAUUCGACUAGCUAACCUGCCUCUCGUAGUCCUGUCCCCUUAAGUAAUUGCCCGGGUUUUGUUAAAAAGUAUCUUUCUUGUUCUGGUUUAAUCCCAGUAGUUAGUAGUCCUGUGAGAGUUAAGUGAUAGUCCCCUAGUUGGAAGCUUAAUAGUAAGGCUCGCACGCACACCGGAAGGUAUCAAACAGAGGAUAAGAAGGAAGUUACAGGAAGGUAGAAAACGGAAUUGAGUUAGAUGAGCUGAGAGCCAGAGUUAGAGGAGAAAGGAUAUAGAUUAGGUAUCGGCUUUGAAGCUAGGUGUGAGCGAGGUCUGUUAGCAGAGCCCUAGGAAAGUCUAGUUUGGCUGUUGACCAGGUCAGUUAUGAUUAUUGGAAUACCGGGUAGUCCUGCUUCAUCAGAGGUUUAGUCCACGGGUAGUCCUGUUCGAGGAAGAAGAAAGUACUGGGUUCGAAGCGGGGCCAGCUCCUCUCAGCGGGAAAGAAAUAAAGUCAUAAUUUCAAUAGGAGACAGAGUGAAAAGAGCCAGAGAAGAAUUAAGGUCUAGUAGCCGAGGUUCACUCAUAGGUCAGAGCCAUAACUUGAUUUGUUUACAGAGUUAGAUGAGAGUCCAGGGCUAGUUCCAGUGGAAUUCUUAUCCGUAUUUGUAACAAGAGGAGAGGGAGAGGAGAGGUCGGAGAGAGAGAAAGAAUCUGUUUUAUUGGGAGAGGAAACUGUUUCAAUAGCAAGAUCAGAGGGAUAGUUUCAAGAGCCAGAGGAGUGGUAAAGUGGAAUCUGUAUUAGUAGUGGUAUGGUCCAGUGGGGUUGGUGCUCUAGCUCUAAGUCAUAGGGAUUGUUUUGGUAACCAAGUCCUGUCUUUGGGGCCGCUAUCAGUGCCACUUAUAUAUCUGCGAAUCUUGAAACAAGCCCAGCAGGGUUCAAUGAAUUGGGACCGAUCGCCCGAAUGUGAAUUGGUCCUUUUUUGCCAUACGUUGCUUGGCCCAGGAAUUCCACUAUCUAUUACUUAUCAGACGGAAACAAAGAAUAAAGAAGUAGCUCGAUUAGCGGGCUCAACACCCAGAUUGAGAGUACUUAUUGGUGAAGCUGUCAACCCAACUAGUAACGAAGAAUAAGCCGCGUUAGGAAGUCAACAACACUCGCUCGCCCUACUGCUCCCCUACCAUAAUUGCCACUAUGAACCUUUCCCUACUGAUUGUCAAGGAAAACUGUUAAUUGAACGCAUUUUCUAUCUCUUGCAACUUUGCUCCCUCCACUACGGGACUGCACCCCGGAACAAGCAAUGGCGAUAAGUCAAGUAAUUUCAGUCAACAACAAUCGGUUCAUCAAGUCGAGGAGAGGUUAGCGCGUCAAGAAGAGGUUAAGCGGUAAGAAUCAAAUCAGUAUUAGGAACAUAUGAUAAGCGUCAAUGUCGUGUAACAUCCGAUAGAUACCUUCGAUACAACUAUACUAUAUUAAUUCUAUUCCGCCUCUUCUCCUGAUCCUGCUUUCUGAUUAAGAUAAGAUCUUUCUCUUGAAGAAACGAUAACUCCACGCUUAUACCAUUCUUAGUGUAAGUCAUGGAAGAAGAAACGAUAACUCCACGCUUAUACCAUUCUUAGUGUAAGUCAUGGAAGAAUUCAUUGUUAACGGUUAAAGUGUUCAUUGAAGAAUGUAGGUAUGGAUGCGCUAGAGAAAGUACCUUAAUGCAGAGAAUGAUGUACCUAUUAUAAAUAAGAGUAAUGUAUGUAAUAUCUAUUGACCCUGCUUAAAUACCAGUGGAAUCCCGGCUCUAUUCAGUGGUGUAGGGGUGCUUUGCUUGCCUCUCUUCAAUGCUUGCUGUUUCCUUACUGGAUACUUCGGAUUCCCUAAUUCCAGUUUUUCUGCGAGACUAAACUUUCACGAUGGGGGGCCUGUCUUCAGUCGACAAAGGAUUCUCUUCUUCUUCUAUAGAAGAUGAAACUUGAACUACUUCUUUAGUACCCGCCCACCAAAGAAAGCUAAUGCACUACACGAUGGCUUCAAUAUAAGUAUAAGUCUUAAAUAUAAGUAAUUUGCGUAAGAAGAAGCUUAAUCAUAUUCUAAAUACAGGGCAGCAUGAAUAUUAUGAAAUCUAAGUGUCGUUCUUUUUUCGGUAAGUGAUGAUUCAGUGUCAAAGGUAGCUCUGUGCCCACGUACAACUAGGUAAGCGCUUAACCGAGAUCAUAGAUAUAUGGUAAUAUUAGGGAAUCAUAGGAAUCAAAGGUGUCACUUGUUAACUAAAAGAAAGGGAGGUGUGUUGACCGCGUCUGCGAGAUAGGUUCUUGUUUCCUACUUAAUAUUUCGGGUCAGCUAAGCUUUAUUUGUAUCUUCAGUAUAAGAAUUGCCAGUUACUGUUAUAAGAUAUGAAGCAUAUGAAUUACCAACCAGUUCAGGUGUUGUAUACGAGUUCCGUUGUUGGCUCUAAGUCGGUCAUGGAAAGAGGUAGCUAAACCAGCAAGGGGAGAAAGAUCAUAAGCAUGAUUAGAAGCCUGAAAAGAAGCUGCUCCGUAAACUGGUUCAGGCCCAGUCCAAGUGCUUGAGUAUCUUUCGGAAAGCCAAGUUAUAGUGUUGUAUCUAGUUAGCGCCCAAAUAGAGGAAUAAGUUACAGGUGAGUCAGCAGUUCGAGAAUCCGCAGUGAGGUUAGGUAGAGCAGAGCCAGAGCCAGAGUUGCGGUUCCUAAGUAGUAGGAAUCUCUUGGGGGCCAAGCAACUUAUAAUGUAUAGCGGCAGGAGCCCCGGUGCUCGUUAAGUCAUGUAGAUGGAGUUCUGUGCUGUUUGACUCGAAGCAAUAAGGCGAAGUUAAGAAGUAUUGACUUGCUAGUUAGGGAAAGGGAACUUAGUUGACUUAAACUUACAAUAAGAGCCUAUACUCAAGAAGAGAGGCCAAGCUACCACUAAAGCAGAGCCUUACUUAAUAAUGGGAGGCAGAGGCACGGUUAGUUGGAUAAGGUAUCAACUUCAGAGAAGACUCAACUAGGGAUGAAACAACAACAAGAAAAGGCCACACUUCAGAAUUUCAACCGAAACAAGAACAUAUAAUAACUAUAGCUUGUGUCUUCUCUUUCAUCUUUCACGUUGUUUAAGCUCUGUCCAAUUACUCUUAUGGCAAAUUACUCAUAUCAACUCUCCUACAGCCCAACGAAUGAAUUUGAUCCUACAAAUAAAUCGGUUCCCUUUCUUAUUCCCUUGCAUGUUAAGAAGAGAUUAUUGCCCAUACUUGCCCUUACCGGGAUUUGCGCUGCUAUGAGAAAGAUUUGCUUGUACAUAUCUGGCGAGGGAUUAUUUCUUGCCUUCAUAGAGACUCAUUUGCGCCUGCCUUCUGGCAAAGGGACCGAUGGCUAGGAUUGGUCCUUCUUUAUCACCCCCACCUAUCAAACACAUUAUUUACCUAACCUCAUAUGCUACUCACCUUAGUGCUUGUAUGUACAAAGAAAGGAAAGGAUCCGCUGUGAGAUGAGAAUGCAGCAAGGAAGGAGGUAGGUUAUCAAUAUAUAUAUAUAAUAUAAAGGAGGGAGGUUAUCCAAAUAAAGAGAUCUCUCUUCUUCCAGUAGUCAAGGCCAAGGGUUUGUUUGGAAACUAUAGAAAACAUACAUACGAACUUAAGGCCUUUAUUCAGCCGGCAUAAAGAAAAAGAAAGGCCGCAGGAUGAAUUAGAAGGAAUAAGUCCCCCUAUCAUAACUAGAAAUAUUGAGUCUCAUGAUAUGCUGGAAGUGUUUUUUGAUCAGAGUAAUGCCUGCCUUCAGUCGGAACUUCAAGCCUUUGCUUUGGGCUUACUCCAAAAGGAAGCCUGGACUUUGGUCAUUUCGCAUCUUGGGUGUGGUGAACUAGUUUGUUUGUUUUACAAUCCAUUCUUCCUUCUUAUCAAAGACCGCUAUUAUUAGCUUUUCAAUCAAGAUGAACUUGAGAUGCUGGGACAGAUUCCUUUACCAUACUACGAUGACAUCGCUUUGACCGAUGGGUGCUGCGUAGGGGCGGAGAAUCUUUUUGAGUGCGGGUAACGUCUAGGUUCCUUCCAUCCUAUUUGACUGAGCAGAGUAUAUAAGAGCACUUACCUUCGAGCAGAGAAACUGACUAUAUGGGGCAGGGCUAACUUAAAUUGAAGAGCCAGACUUAGAGCCAAGAUGAAAUAGUCAGAGUGUAAAGAGAACCCGAAUUAACGUACAAGCACAAGUGGAAGAAAAGGUAGGGUUAGAGCAACACCAAGCACAAGUAUCAAAUAUGGGUUUCUAGUUUCAUCAACGAGAUCAUCUAAUGUUGCGCGGCAGUAACCAAUUUGUGUACCAGGAACAGGCAAUUGAAUGGAGUCGCCUUAACCUGACUUGAGAACAGAAACAGCUCUUUCAUCUUACCAGGUAUAUAUAAAUGAGUAAGGGUACUGCGCUUCUUAUCUUUAUUCCUAACCUGCCUCAGAUCCUGUUUCAGAGCUAAGAUCAGUAGUAGAUUCCAAUUCCAGAGUUGUUGACAGUUCCGUUCGAGAAGCAGAGGAAAAAGAGAGGAGGUGUCACCCAUGUAAGGAAAGGUUGUUGUUGCCAAAGGAAUGCAAAGCUGUGUCUUUCUCCACGGUUCAAGAUUAGAAACAAGAUCUGGAUCAUCAGCAGUGUUGUAUCGGGGUGUGAUGCAACAAGCCCAGUUUCGUCAACAAGUAAAGUGUCUUAAGCAAAUAAAGAAUGGAACUACCGCGAACCUAACUCAGGUAAUAAGUCAACUCCUUCCCACGUGCUACUAUACUAGAUUCUUAGACUAGGGUACGAUCUCGCCCACAAAGUAAUGGAAUAUGCCCUAAGUAAAUGCAGAAUUCAAUAAUCAAUAAAGAGUUCAACAAAGAAGUAUAAGAAUCCAAUUAAUAAUGGUGUUUAUCCGACGCUAACAAACAGUACUUUAGAAAAAGGGUUGACUUUAUUACUACUUGAGAGAAAGAGCACUAGGCGAAGUGUUACCAGAUUCUAUCUUACCUGGGCGCGGAACAAGACGGAUUUGAUUCUGUUUCCUCUGAUCCAUAUCUUGAAACUAGCACUGGCAAUACUCACUUUGCUGGCAAUACUGUACUACACUGCCUCACCUGUCACUUAAGAUUAUAUCUCCUCCGCUCUGGAAAGCGUAAGAAGCAAGUUUUUGCGGAGAUUGCCGUUACCCUUUGUUAACGUCACCUUAUUGACAACCAUGGAAGCGAUACUGAUUUUGUUAUUCCAGCCCAACCUAACGAGGAAAGGCAUUUAUUGGGGUGUGAUAGGGCGGCUUACCCUAAAAGGAAUUUGACAGAAAACACUUUCUCAUUGGACCUGUAGCGACCACUAUGUAGGAACAUGCAUGGAAGCAGCUUUCUUUUGCUUAGAUGAUUUGCUGAGAUGUUGGAGUUAAGGGAGCGGUUUUCCUAUUAUUGAGAUUAGAGAUGGAUGGAAAGAAAGUGGUUGAUAACGACAUAGAGAGAACGGAAUUAAGGGAGCUGUUUUCCUAUUAUUGGGUGGGAUUAGAGCGAGAUUAGAGUAAGGAUGGAAAUCCGUGUUUGAUAACGAGAAAGAUAGAACGAUUUAGAUUGGAGCAGACGAUACAGAUUAGAGAUGGCUAGAAAUAAGGGAUAGUAGGAUGGAUUGCUGGAUAGAACUAAGUGUUUCUAGUAGGAUUUCGUAUCCAAAAAGGAAGAAUGCUUUAUGCCAACAGAGGAAAGUUGACUAAAGCUCGUAACAGGGCGGGGAAAGGAACGAGGGAGGAGUGCUUUAUACCACCAGACCAGAGGAAAGGAACGAGGGAAGAAUGCUUUAUACCACCAGACCAGAGGAAAGGAACGAGUCGACGCCAAACACAUAAAGAAAGACGAAUCACUAUAUUCAGAUAGAAUGAAGAAAGGUGGACAGAUAGAAUGAAGAAAUUACUACCGAUCAUGCGAGAAACCUACAGAUUUUCCGAUAGCUUUUAGGAGGCAAACCCACUGAUGUUACGAAUUAUCGGUACGCUUUUGGGAUGAUAUUACAAGGGUAGUUCGGAUGCUUGUGUUAAGCAAUGAGAAAAUCGAUAAUAUAGAACCUGAGUCAAUCGAGAACCGAACACCUUCCGCUACACUUACUAUGUUACUUGGCCCCUACUGAAUUCUAUCUCUUCUUAUUAAGAACUAUCCAAAUCACUCUUAUUAUUAAGGAUAAUAGCGUUGAGAAAGAUCUGAUGCCGGGCCCCAGGUGUUAAGAAUACAGAUCUGGUAUAGGCUUUGAAGUAGGUUUCUUCUGUAAGUGGUUGGGUUGCUCGUAUAGUUUCUUUCAUUCAAUUAGUAAGUAUAGAUAAGUGCAUCGAGCUAGGACAAAGGAAGAGGAAACACACACACCCACUCAUAUAGGACAGAUAGGACAGAGGCAUAGGGUGGUGAAGUAGGACAGAUAGGACAGAGGCAUAGGGUGGUGUCAAAGAGACUUUAGAGUGGAAUGAAUUAUAAUAAGGGCUUAUGAACUGGAACUGGGGUAUAAACAGCCCCAUGGAGCCCUAAUUCUUUUAGUAAUAUAUGCAUUAUUUUGCCCCUAUGGGGGUGCGUCAUGUCAUAUUUCCCAUCAAACUUCUAAAGAUGCGAAAGAAUGCUCCGAUUACCCUAUUCUUUGUUUUAGAGUGGAAAUACAAUACGAGGCUCGGGUAUGCUGGUUUCAUGAAGUGAGUGACUAGGCUCGGGUAUGCUGGUUUCAUGAAGUGAGUGACAGAAUCGAACCAGUCUGUAUCAAAAUGGAGCUGAUCGAUGGAAGACUUCAACCAGGUAGACUCGUUCUUUCACCCAGUAGCCUAUAAGUGGUAAUUACAGAAUUGACCUCAUCAGACAUAGACUUAACCAAGGGAGUGACAGACCAAAAGGAAGAAUAACGCCCCUACUGACUCAGACUAAACACCCCCAUCAUCAGGUAAAGACUUAAACUCGUAUGACAGGCCUAAAGAAGUGGGUUCGGGUGCUCAAACAAAAGAAGUGGGCUCGGGUGCUUGAAUAAAAGGAAGAAAAUCACCAAAACAAUCAAUGAGAAAUCACAAAUAAAUAAGAAAAGUGGAGAAA
rnacentral:lncRNA from 1 species